GAUGAACGCUAGCGGCAGGCUUAAUACAUGCAAGACGAACGGUAAGUUUGGUAGCAAUACUAGACCUAGAGUGUCGUACGGGUGCGUAACACGUAUGCAACCUACCUUGUACAGGAGGAUAGCUCGGGGAAACUCGAAUUAACCCUCCAUAACAUAGCGAUGUGGCAUCACAUUACUAUUAAAACUGAGGUGGUACAAGAUGGGCAUGCGAUUGAUUAGUUAGUUGGCAGUGUAACGGACUACCAAGACGAUGAUCAAUAGGGGACCUGAGAGGGUGAUCCCCCACACUGGCACUGAGAUACGGGCCAGACUCCUACGGGAGGCAGCAGUAGGGAAUAUUGGACAAUGGGUGAGAGCCUGAUCCAGCCAUGCCGCGUGCA
rnacentral:rRNA from 1 species